AGGUUAAUACUGAAAGAGUGUUAUUAGUAAUGACCAAAGACCUUUAGCCUCCUGUCCAAAAUUCUGUUUUACUCUAUAGAAUGAGAAUGUAAACUCUAUCAUGUUGGGCUAUUUAGUAACUUAUUAGUGCAUUCAUCUUUUCAUCAUUUGACAGGUGGAAGUAGUAGUUCAGUUUUUAGUUUUAAUUAUAAGGGAUUCCAGAUGUAGAAUGCUACACAAAUUAAAACCAGAGCUGCUCAUAUGUCCUUUCAAAGUAGGCUGACUUCAAGGUAU
rnacentral:lncRNA from 1 species